UUUAGACAAUGGCUUUGUCGAAGUUAUCAUCAAACGGGCGAAUUAAUUGUGUAGCAUUGAUCUGGGCAGCAAAACGUCUGAUUCGAAACAUAAAUGCAUCGUGUUGCUGGGCACGAUGUUCGGUUGAAAGGUUUUGCGACACCUGUUAUGACGUGUACAUACAAAUCAACGAGACACCGAUACGAAAUGAUUUGUACACUCAUUGCAGAGACAUCUAUCAACGAUUCUUCAACAACCUGUAUUCGGUCGAGUUUCAACAGGCGGUACAGUUUAUCGAAGACUCACAACACCAUCUUGCCAAUAUCGAUAGGUGUGGACUGAAUCAGUUCUUCAAAUUGUGGUUUGGGCACUUUGAUAGUCGAAACCUCUCACGACAGAUGUUCAAAGAAACGUUCAGGUCCAACUUUUUCGACCCAGGCAUAAUUUCACUUCGAGAGAGACGCGAUGUACGAAGAUAUUUGCAAAGACCACGAGGAUGCACACCAGUCCCGCCAAGACCUGCGCUUCCUACUUUUGUACUCGAUAGGGGCUUUAACCACGGACAGGGACUAUCAUACCUAGUGUAUAAAGAUAUCAGUAACUCUAAAUAUGUGUAUCACCCAAUACAUCAUGAUUGGACUGAAGUAUUUCAAAUAACAACAUAUAAAAUAAACAAAAAAUUAACAAAUAGCAGCAAAUGCAGUGCACUCCAAGAAUGGAAAUAUAUUUGCACUGCUAGAUAUGUGCAUGCUGGUGACCGUAUGUAUGUUUUCCUUAAAAUUCGCGAUGAAACUGUUAUUUAGGCAAGCCUUUUUGUAUUGAAUGCAAACGUAUUUUUUAUAUUUUAUGGACCGAUUGUUUCAUUGCCGAUUUAUUUUGUUAGUAACGCAAAUUAAA